rnacentral:rRNA from 1 species
UACAGAGGUGGCAAGCGUUGUUCAGAAUUACUGGGCGUAAAGGGCGCGUAGGCGGUCUUCUAAGUCUUGUGUGAAAUCCCUCGGCUUAACUGAGGAACUGCACGGGAUACUGGAUGACUUGAGUUCGGGAGAGGGAAGCGGAAUUCCGGGUGUAGCGGUGAAAUGCGUAGAUAUCCGGAGGAACACCGGUGGCGAAGGCGGCUUCCUGGACCGACACUGACGCUGAGGCGCGAAAGCUAGGGGAGCAAACGGG